rnacentral:lncRNA from 1 species
UUAUGGUUCAGUUUCGUUAUUACUUUUGAAUAUUGAGAUUUCAAUGGGCUUGUGUAUAUAAUAAAAGGAUUAGUGGAUUUUUUUAAAAAAUAUAAAUGUUUUCUACCCCUCGUGGUAACGAAUUUUUAAAAGAAAAAAGGUUUCCGUGUGGGAAACGGUUUUAAAAGGUUUUCUCGUGGAUUUUGUAACUUAGUAUUUCAAAACAAGAUUCCGAGUAGGAAACAUUUUCAACUAAUAGUUGUGGUAUUAUGAUUGAACGUUGAAUGGUAAAUCUGUUGUGAAUGGUGAAUGAAUGUUGAAUGUUGUAUAUUCAUUAUGGUGGUUGUACUCUGUUUAGACGUCUUGUACUUGU